rnacentral:rRNA from 1 species
GACGAACGCUGGCGGCGUGCCUAACACAUGCAAGUCGAACGGAAAGGCCCUGCUCUUGCGGGGUGCUCGAGUGGCGAACGGGUGAGUAACACGUGAGUAACCUGCCCUUGACUUUGGGAUAACUUCAGGAAACUGGGGCUAUUACCGGAUAGGAGCUCCUGCUGCACGGUGGGGGUUGGAAAGUUUCGGCGGUUGGGGAUGGUCUCGCGGCUUCUCCGCUUGUUGGUGGGGUAGUGGCUUACCAAGGCUUUGACGGGUAGCCGGCCUGGGAGGGUGAACAGGCACAAUGGGACUGAGGGACGGCGCAGACGCCUACGGGAGGCAGCAGUGGAAAAUAUUACGCAGUGGGCGGAAGCCUGAUGCAGCGGCGCCGCGUGCGGAAUGACGGCCUACGGGUUGUAAACCGCUUUCGCCUGUAACGAAGCGUGAGUGACGGUAAUGGGUAAAGAAGCAACGGCUAACUACGUG